CCGCCUCUUGGGCGCUCACCUCCUCCCCCAUUCCUUCUGGCCGCCCCCCUUCCUUGCCGACCUGUAGCGCCGUCUUCGCCUCUUGGGCACCCACCUCGGGCACGGAGGAGGCGCCGCCCGUGAGUGAGAGCACCUCGCGGCCGCGGGCUGCACACACCGACCAUGGAGGAUGCCCCGUCCCUGUCGCCAGUAGCAUCCCUCGCUGCCUGGAUUCAUCGCGGUGAUGCCGGUCUCAUGUCCGCGUCUCCGGCGACGGCGUCGUUGUUUCCUGCUGGCCGGCAGCGUCCUUGUGGUCACGUCUACAUCCUCCUCGUUCACCAUCACAUCCUUGUUAUCACCGCCAACAUCACUAGUCUCCGGACACAAGACCUCCUUCACUGCUUCAUCCUUGCUUCUGCUAGAUACUCCUGAGGGUAAGGUAUGCAUUUCUGCGCAGUUAUUUCUGACCAAAUUGUGUAGCAGUCGGUAAUGUUACAUGCAUUUUUUGUGCUACAAAGUACAUGGUGUGAAGCGUAGUUGAAUUAGUAGAUAGAACAUGGAACCCAACCAACUAUGUUAAUGUAACGUUUUUGAUGCAAAUGGAACAACUUUUUCCAUCAGGAACAAGGCCCAUCAGCAUUUGUUUUGUGUUACAUGUACUAGUUGAAUUAGUGGAUGGAACCAAUUAUGUCCAUGCAACUAUUUUUUGCAGCAGAUGUAACCAAUGUUUCAUUAGGUGUAAGGUCGAUCAGCAUUUGUUUUUGUGUUACUUGCAGUAGUUAAAUUAGUGGAUGGACAAAUUAUGUCCAUGUAACCUCUUUUUGCAGCAGAUGGAACCAAUUUUUCAUUAGUUGUAAGGCCGAUCAACAUUUGUUUUGCGUUACAUGCAGUAGGCUAGCACAGACAGUGAUAGCAGCCACAACACAUUGGUAAUUGAGUAGUAAACAGUGCUCUGGAACACACACAUAUUGGUUAUUUAUAUCACCCUGUACCUGUCAUUUCGUACUUCCAGUCACUAGGAUUUGCCUUGUGUCUUGGUAAGGGAAGUUCAAGAAGUAAUUCUGGAGCCUAGAUGGUUCAUCAAUGCUUUCCGGUUGAUAGCAACAUGCAGCGAUCUUACUUGCCAGGACUCUUCUGGGUGCUCACCAUAUUUUCUAAUCAACUUGUCUUGAUAUGUAUUUGACCUACACCAACACAUAACACUCUAGGCUGUGGCCUGAAUUUCAGUGAGAAACUUGGUUGAAGAUUAUGAUCACCAGAAAACAAAGCUUGGCUCACCUCACGCGGUGGAGGAGACACUGGAGGUUAUCUCGGUUGCAGCCCAGGAUGUGACCUUGUCAGUUAGGAGAAUGAGUAGCUCCAUGGCAAACUAGGAGCAGAAACGGUUGAAUUCAGCGCCUUGAAAUCUGGAGAAGUCCCAGGUUUCUGGCAAGGUCGGCAAGACGUCAGCUAGCUCACGGCAAGACGGCGGGGUUCUGGCAAGGUUGGCAAGACUUCGGAGAACACAUAGCAAGAUGACGGUGAACUCACGGCAAGACGGUGGGGUUCCAGCAAGGUCGGCAAAACUGGCGACGUACACCGGUGAGACCGGUAGUAUUCCGGCGAGUUACAUUUAACCCGUAAAGAAUAAUCUACCUAGUUCUUCUUCACCCAAGUCGUGAUACAUUGGCAUGUAUUUUUUUUCGACCGCUCUGGCUAAAGCACGGACAUAUAACUACUCUAGCAUCCUACUGGAUGUAACUCUAACUCUUGUUUGGAUGUAACAAAGUAGUUGCAUCAGAUCAGGCUAGAACUUUUUUGCAACAAUGUAACAGGUGGUACAGGAGCUCCACCGAUGUGUCUCCCAUCCGCAAUUCUUUCUGGAAACAAUAAUUUUUUUGAUGUAUUUUAUUCCACACACGGGUUGAAGGAGAACUCGAGAAGGUACGGGGGUUGUUGGAUGGAAGAAAGAAGGGGGCGCUAGUUCCCGCGCGUCCGUCCAAACUUAUCUCCAAUCUUUCUCGUUGUUCUUCUCCUUUUCUUGAACACGUGAGAUGCAGAUGUAACAUAUAUGUGUUCUUUUUUCUGUUAUUCCCCUCCUCUCCCGUUAAGAUUCAGAUGUAACAGC